CUCAGCUUUUGAUGUUCUCUCUUCAAUUCGUAGAGUACCGUUGGUCGGAAGAAAAUGACACCGUACUAUGUUGUCUGAAUUCAAUAUUCAUAAGUCUAGAUUUGGUCAAACACCAAUUGAAAAAUACGAAAACGAGAAAAGAAAUUUGCAUUUAAAAUUUGGACUCCCAAGACAUCCCCUCCUUUCUUUAUACUCUCUCUCAAAUUUUCGCAACGUGUUGUAUCAGUUUACAUACACAUACAGCGGUGCAAACAGAUGAUAAGGCUUGACUCUGAUAAUAGGUAAAUCCCGAUACUUGAGAAAAAAUGCAUAUCAAUUUUUGUAAUUUCAUCUUAAACCCUUUUUACUAUUUCUACUAAUUGGAUUUUGGGCUUUUGUAGAUUUCGGGUGUUUCUGGAUUUCACUUUUGAAGAGGUCGGAUUGUGUUUAUUCGACCAAUAACUUUCUUUAUUAUUUAAAGGUAAGCCAAUCUAGGUAAAGUUACCUCUUUUUCGAUGUUUGAAUUUGAUAUUUAUGUACAUUUCCUUUUUGGGUUCUAUACUUGUGUGUAUAUUUAUU
rnacentral:lncRNA from 1 species